rnacentral:rRNA from 1 species
ACGACCCCAAGUCAGGCGGGAUUACCCGCUGAGUUUAAGCAAAUAAAUAAGCAGAGGAAAAAAAACUUAUAAGGAUUCCCUUAGUAACGGGGAGCGAACCGAGAGCACCCCAGCCUUAGAAUCGGGCAGCUCCGUCGUCUGAAUUGUAGUCUGGAGAAGCGACCUCAUCGACGGACUGGGCCCAAGUCCCCUAGCAGGGGGCACCAGAGAGGGUGAGAGCCCCAUUGUGACAGGACCCUAUCGCAUCAUGAGGCACUCUCUACGAGUCGGGUUGUUUGGGAAUGCAGCCCAAAUCGGGCAGUGAAUUCCGUCCAAGGCUAAAUACGGGCGACAAACCGAUAGCGAACAGGUACCGCGAGGGAAAGAUUAAAAGGACUUUGAAAAGAGAGUCAAAGAGUGCUUGAAAUUAUCAGGAGAGAAGCGAAUGCGGGCCGGCGAUGCGCCCUGGUUAGAUGUGAAACGGCGACGAGCCGGUCCACCGAUCAACUCGGGGCGUGGACCAGUGUGGAUUGGGGGGGCGGCCAAAGCCAGGGCUCUCGAUAUGCUCAUGAAAUGCCGUCUCCUCGAUUGUGGCAGGCAUUGCACGCCUUCGGCGUGCUUCGGCAUCUGCACGCUCCGGACGCUGGCCUGUGGGCUCCCCAUCAGACCCGUCUUGAAACACGAACCAAGGAGUCUGACAUGUGUGUGAGUCAAUGGGUGAGUAAACCCGUAAGGCAUAAGAAAGCUGAUUAUGGUAUACCCCCGAGGGGUGCACCAUCGACCGACCUUGAUCUUCUGAGAAGGGUUCGAGUGUGAGCAUACCUGUCGGGACCCGAAAGAUGGUGAACUAUGCCUGAGCGGGGCGAACUCAGAGGAAACUCUGGUGGAGGACCGCAGCGAUACUGAAGUGCAAAUCGUUCGUCUGACUUGGGUGUAGGGGUGAAAGACUAAUCAAAUCGUCUAGUAGUUGGUUCCCUUAGAAGUUUCCCUCAGGAUAGCUGGGGCUCACGUGCGAGUUCUAUCGGGUAAAACCAAUAAUUAACGACCUCGGGGGCGCAACGCCCUCGACCUAUUCUAGAACUUUAAAUAGGUAGGACGACACGACUGCUUUGUUGAGCCGCGCCACGAAAUCAAGAGCUCCAAGUGGGCCAUUUUUUGUAAGCAAAAUUGGCGAUGUGGCAUGAACCAGAUCUGGGUUACGAUGCCAAACUACGCGCUAACCUAGAUCCCACAAGGGUGUUGGUUGAUUAAGAUAGCAGGACGGUGGUCAUGGAGGUCAAAAUCCUCUAAGGAAUGUGUAACAACUCACCUGCCGGAUAAACUUGCCCUGAAAAUGGAUGGCGCUUAAGCGCGUGACCUACACCCAGCCGUCGGGGCAAGUUCCAGGCCCUGAUGAGUAGGAGGGCGUGGCAGUUGCUGCAAAACCUUGGGUGCGAGCCCGGACGGAGCGGCCGUCGGUGUAAAUAUUGGUGGUAGUAGCAAAUAUUCAAAUGAGAACUUCGAAGCCCGAAGAGGGGAAAUGUUCCAUGUGAACGGCACUUGCACAUGGGUUAGUCGAUCGUAAGGGUCGGGGGAACCCCGACAGAUAGCGCGUUUCGCGCGUACUCUGAAAGAGAAUCGGGUUAAAAUUCCUGAAUCGAGAUGUGGCGGUCGACGAAAAUGUUAGGAAGUUCGGNCGGAGACGUCGGCGGGAGCCUCGGGAAGAGUUAUCUUUUCUGUUUAACAGCCUGCCCACCCUGGAAUCGGCUCAGCCGGAGGUAGGGUCCAGCGGCUGGAAGAGCACCGCACGUCGCGUGGUGUCCGGUGCGCUAUCGGCGGCCCUUGAAAAUCCAGAGGACUGAAUGCCGUCCACGCCAGGUCGUACUCAUAACCGCAUCAGGUCUCCAAGGAGAACAACCUCUGGUCAAUGGAACAAUGUAGGCAUGGAAAGUCGGUAAAAUAGAUCCAUAACUUCUGGAAAAGGAUUGGCUCUGAGGGAUGGGCACGGGGGUCCCAGUCCCAAACCCGUCGGCUGUUGGUGGACUGCUCGAUCUUCUCCCNCGAGAGCGGGUCGCCGCGUGCCGGCCGGGGGACGGACUGGGAACGGUUCCUUCGGGGGCCUUCCCCGCGCGUCGAACAGCCAACUCAGAACUGGUACGGACAAGGGGAAUCCGACUGUUUAAUUAAAACAAAGCAUUGCGAUGGUACCAACAAAUGUUCACGCACUGUGAUUUCUUUCCAGUGCUCUGAAUGUCAAGGUGAAGAAAUUCAACCAAGCGCGGGUAAACGGCGGGAGUAACUAUAACUCUCUUAAGGUAGCCAAAUGCCUCGUCAUCUAAUUAGUGACGCGCAUAAAUGGAUUAACGAGAUUCCCACUAUCCCCAUCUACUAUCCAGCGAAACCACAGCCAAGGGAACGGGCUUGGUAGAAUCAGCGGGGAAAAAAGACCCUGCUGAGCUUGACUCUACUCCGACUUUAUGAAAUGAUUUGAGAGGUGUAGUAUAAGUGGGAGCCGAAAAGCGAAAGUGAAAUACCACUACUUUUAACGUUAUUUUACUUAUUUCAUGAAUCGGAAGCGGGGCACUGCCCCCCUUUUUGUACCUAAGGGAUUCAUAUUGAACAACUGGUAUUCACUUAUAAGGGGUCGUUUGGUAGGAGGGAUAAGGAUAACUAAUCCCGGGAUUAAUUUAAAAGAGAAGUUUAUCCCAUGUUUGGUUGGGACAAAAUGCAUGGGAUAAAACUCAUCCCAGAAUUAGUUAUCCCGGGAUUGUAGUCGCUCUGAGGGCCAAUCCGGGCGGAAGACAUUAUCAGGUGGGGAGUUUGGCAGGGGCGGCACAUCUGUUAAAAGAUAAUGCUGGUGUCCUAAGAUGAAUCUCAACGAGAAUAGAAAUAUCAUCUGGAACAGAUGGGUAAAAGCUCGUUUGAUUCUGAUUACCAGUACGAAUACGAACUAUGAAAGCGUGGCCUAACAAUCUUUUAGACCUUCGGAAUUCGAAGCUAGAGGUGUCAGAAAAGUUACCACAGGGAUAACUGGCUUGUGGCAGCCAAGCGUUCAUAGCGACGUUGCUUUUUGAUCCUUCGAUGUCGGCUCUUCCUAUCAUUGUGAAGCAGAAUUCACCAAGUGUUGGACUGUUCACCUACCAAUAGGGAACAUGAGCUGGGUUUAGACCGUCGUGAGACAGGAUAGUUUUACCCUAUUGAUGACAGUGUCGCAAUAGUAAUUCAACCUAGUACGAGAGGAACUGUUGAUUCACAUAAUUGGUAAUCGCGCUUGAUUGAAAAGCCAGUGGCGCGAAGCUACACCUAGGCAUCGUGGCAUCAAGGCACCGUGGCACCAAGGCACCGUGGCACCAAGGCACCGUGGCACCAUGGCACCGGGCAGCAAGGCACCGUGGCACGAUGGCACUGUGGCACCAUAGCACCGUGGCACCAUGGUACAAAGGCACCAUGGCUCCAUGGCUCCAUGUUACUAAG